rnacentral:rRNA from 1 species
UACGUAGGGCGCAAGCGUUGUCCGGAAUUAUUGGGCGUAAAGGGCUCGUAGGCGGAUCCGCCAGUUUGACGUGAAAUCUCCACCGCCCACCGGGGAGAGGUCGUUGAAUACUACGGAUCUGGAGUUCGGCAGAGGACCAUGGAAUUUCGGGUGUAGCGGUGGAAUGCGUAGAUAUCCGAAAGAACACCGGUGGCGAAGGCG